UACAGCCAUAUCACGUUGAAACACCGGGUCCUCACGUUCACCGAAAUUAAACAACGUCGAGCCUGUUCAGUACUGAGAUGGGUAACCGCUUGGGAAUACUUGGUACUGUAAG